rnacentral:sRNA from 1 species
GCUGGGCGUUGUGGCCAGCGCCUGUGGUCCCAGCUACUUGGGAGGCAGAGGCAGGAUACUCACUUGAGCCCAGGAGUUGGAGGUUGCUGUGAGCUGUGAUGCCACAGCCCUCUAUCCAGGGGGAUAGCUUGAGGCUCUGUCUCAAAAAAAAAAACAAACAAAAAACAGAGUCUGGCUUUGUCACCCUGGAUAGAGAGUGCUGUGGUAUCAUAGCUCACAGCAACCUCAAACUCUUGGGCUUAAGCAAUUCUCUUGCCU